rnacentral:rRNA from 1 species
GGAAAACUCACCAGGUCCAGACAUAGGAAGGAUUGACAGAUUGAGAGCUCUUUCUUGAUUCUAUGGGUGGUGGUGCAUGGCCGUUCUUAGUUGGUGGAUUGAUUUGUCUGGUUGAUUCCGACAACGAACGAGACCCUCGCCGUUAAAUAGAAGCGAGUUUCCUUUGGAUUCCGUCUUCUUCUUAACGGGACUUUGCGCGUCUAGUGCAAUUAAGAGAGGGCAAUAA